GUUAUAUCACAUCGAAACACGGGUUCCCGUACGAUCACUUCGGUUAAGCAACGUCGAGCCUGGUUAGUACCUAGAUCGGUGACCUUGUGGGAAUGCCCGAGGCUGUUA